GCUGCCGCCACCGCCGCCCCCGUCGCAGGAGGAGAAGGAUGGAGUCGGGCAAAGAGCCCCGAGUGACCACGGAGGAGAAGCCCAGCGAAGCAGAGCCGGCAGUUUCCUUCCAGGCCCGGCUGUGGAAGAACCUGCAGCUGGGGGGCAAGGGCCGGAGCGGAGGCGGGCGGGCAGCAGCCGAGCGCCGCACUGCGGAGCCCCUCGCUCCGCCGCCGCCGGCCGGCAGCAAAGGGGACCUCCAGCCCGGUGGCAAGUGGAGCGGCUUCAAGCGACGGCGGCAAGUGCUAGACCGCGUCUUUUCGUCCUCCCAGCCCAACCUAUGCUGCUCUGCAGCCGAGCCGCUGGAGCCGGCCGGCGAGUCCGGCUCCGCCCUGCGCCGCCUGCGGGAGCACCUGCUUCCCCAAGGCAAGGGCCCGCCGCCCGGCCGCCGCCCGGAGCCCGCCGCCGGCUGUGAGGGGCCGGCGGGUGGCAGGGAGGGGCGCCGGCCCGGGGCGCACCUGUCCCACCAGAAGAGCUCCUCGCUGCCCAGCACCGCCUGCCUGGAGCAGCUGCUGCAGGGCUCGCCCGCCGCCGGCAGCAUCCAGGACCAGCGGACGGAGGACGGCGACAGCAGCGCGAGAACAAAUUCAUUUGGAACUAGUAAUGCAGAUUUCCCCUCUGGGGACCCUGGAAUGUACCAGUUGGAUGUUACUCUAAGAAGAGGACAGAAUCUAGCUGCACGGGACCGUGGAGGAACAAGUGAUCCAUAUGUCAAGUUCAAACUUGGAGGAAAAGAAGUAUUUAGAAGUAAAACAGUACACAAGAACCUCAAUCCUGUGUGGGAAGAAAAAGCUUACAUUCUUAUAGAUAACCUAAGAGAACCAUUGUAUAUAAAGGUAUUUGAUUAUGACUUUGGACUUCAAGAUGACUUCAUUGGUUCAGCAUUUUUGGAUCUCACGUCCCUGGAAUUAAACAGGCAAACAGAUGUUACCUUGAGUCUGAAGGAUCCUCAUUACCCUGACCAUGAUCUGGGAAGUAUAUUCCUGACAGUUCUGUUGGCUCCAGGAGACCAGCGAGAAGUGACAAUGCUGAUGAGGAAGAGUUGGAAAAGAUCAAGUAAGUUUCAGACCCAGAGCUUACGUCUCUCAGACCUGCACAGAAAGUCUCAGUUAUGGAGAGGGAUAGUUAGUGUUACCUUAAUAGAAGGUCGUGAACUUAAGCCGAUGGAUGCAAAUGGGCUCAGCGAUCCUUAUGUGAAGUUUCGUUUGGGGCAUCAGAAGUACAAGAGCAAGAUUGUUCCAAAAACUUUGAAUCCUCAGUGGAGGGAGCAGUUUGACUUUCAUCUCUAUGAAGAACGAGGUGGAAUUAUUGAUAUUACCGUGUGGGACAAAGAUGUUGGCAAAAAGGAUGAUUUCAUUGGCAGGUGCCAGAUUGACCUGUCAACUCUGAGUAAAGAACAAACCCACAAGUUGGAGAUGCCGCUAGAGGAGGGAGAGGGAUACCUGGUGUUGCUGGUCACUCUCACAGCAUCAGCUGCAGUCACUAUCUCUGACCUCUCCAUCAACUCCCUGGAGGACCAGAAGGAGCGAGAGGAGAUUCUGAAGAGAUAUAGUCCAAUGAUGAUGUUUCAUAACAUCAGCGAUGUGGGAUUUCUGCAGGUGAAGGUCAUCAGGGCAGAAGCAUUGAUGGCAGCUGAUGUCACAGGUAAAAGUGACCCAUUUUGUGUAGUUGAAUUGAACAAUGACAGACUGCUGACACAUACUGUCUACAGGAAUCUCAAUCCAGAAUGGAACAAAAUCUUCACAUUCAAUAUAAAGGACAUCCACUCAGUGCUUGAAGUGACAGUUUACGACGAAGACCGUGAUCGAAGUGCUGACUUUCUAGGCAAAGUUGCUAUACCAUUGCUGUCUAUUCAAAAUGGUGAACAGAAAGCCUACGUCUUGAAAAACAAGCAGCUGACAGGGCCAACAAAGGGGGUCAUCUAUCUUGAAAUAGAUGUGAUUUUUAAUGCUGUGAAAGCCAGCAUACGAACCUUAAUGCCCAAAGAACAGAAGUACAUUGAAGAGGAAGACAGACUGUCUAAACAGCUACUGUUAAGGAACUUCAUCCGGAUGAAGCAUUGUAUCAUGGCGCUCGUUACUUCUGUCUGCUAUAUUAGCAGUUGUUUUGACUGGGACUCUCCACCAAGAAGUCUAGCUGCUUUUUUGUUGUCUUCUAGGGGCUAGAAAAUCUCACACUGAAAUGUCAGUUCCAGAAACAAGAUGAGAAAUGGGCUGUUCUGGAGGUUUUCAGCCCUUUAGCCAGACUAAGAAACAACAUAUGAAAAGUAAAGCUUUAAACUAACCAUUUCCUCAUCCUGUUGGAUUUGAAAAUGUACUGUGAUGGGUGCAUCCUGAUACAGAGUUACAGUCAUUUCACCUAAGUUGCCUGUAGUGACUGCAUACUUGUGAAACCAGUCUAACACUGAGAUUUAUUGUCCAACACAGACCUGUGCCAUUUUCAGUAAUGUAGAGCAUCCUGUGUGCCGUCCAGCUGCUGUCCCAGAAGAGUAUGUGUCUCUCUUAGGUUCUCUGUCAUUUCUGCCAUUACCAUCCAGGUGACUGGGGUGCCCACCCAAGGGUGUCUAAAAUGGCACUAGCUCUACCUUUAAGCAUUUUAAUUGCUCCCUUAGGUGUUUAUUUUUCCUGCAUAUACAUUUUAGUACGUAACUAGAUGCUGUUCUUAGUUUCUGCAUAAUCUUAUAUGUGUCCCCCACACAUAUGCUGUGUGGGGAAUUACUUUCCUUAUUUUGUGUUUUAUCAAACAGGAGUUGACAGCAGCAUAAAACAUUGGUAUCCCAUGUCUUAAACUCUUCCUUCAAUACUAUACCAUUUUUCCCACAUAUUCUCCUUAGAAAGCUGACAAUAUUCUGGAAAUAUUUAACUACCAAAUCUUUUUGAAUGCUAUUAUAGCUUGAUACUCCAAAAGGUCUGUUUAGGAUUACCUAAAAAGUUCUAAAAACAAGCUUAGAUUUCCUGUUAAGACAGUAAUGUGACUAAAAAUCUGGGCAGCCAAUUAGUGUGAGUUGCAGUCUUACUAUGCAGGAUGCUUCUGAUAACCCAAGGUAAGUACAAGACAGUCCUCCACUGCCUGGUUUACUGGAGGAGUAGCAGAGUGGACCACUGGGCUCACAGAGACGGCUUGCAUUGCAUCACCAGUUCUUACUUGCCCUCUCCUCAUUGCAUAAAAAAGUAUUGAAUUAAAAACUUUGCACUUGAAGGAAUUCAGACAUCAUUGACACUGAAUUUGGAUAAUUACUAAGUAGCUUGGGUAUUCUAAGGUAGUUGUGUACCCUAUCAUCCUCCAGUUCCCUGAGGUGCCAUUUCACAGUUAUCUCAGAAGAUCUUGGCCAUUUAAACUUUCAUGACUUAGAUACUGCACAUGGUUGAGUUAUAAGACAUCUUUUUCAUCAUCUUUUAAUGAUAAGUAUUAUGAGAACCAACACAUUAUAAAGUCACAUUACAGAGUGUUUUACUUCCUUUUUGUUUUAGUAGGAAUGGGUAUUAUAAGGUUUGUUUUGAAAUGAAAGAACUGUAGGACACACUGAUUUCUCUGGGCCAUUCAGUAGUUAAAAUAAUGUCAUGUUAUGGGUUUGCCAAAAGUAGCAGUGUAGUAAAGAAGCAGAUAUGUUGUGUUUUGGUAAAAAAACCCCUCAAGUAAGGUAAAUCAGACAGAGAAGCAAUUGUUUCAAAUUUUUUUGAAAAUACAGUGUGCAAAAGGCUUAGAAAGGACAGAAAUUAAAUUCAGAAAUUAAUCUACCAGUUUCUUCCUAUUGCUCCUUAAGGAAUCUUCAGUGUACUUAUUCCUGUAGAGUGGUUGUUUCUUUAGUAGGUACAUAGCUGGUAGGGGAUGACAUAAGUGUCACAGUGGAAGAAUUUUCAAUGUGCUGGAUUUUACUGGAGUAAAAACACUUUAGACCAUUUUGUAACAUAUCAGAUAUGCAUAAGAAAUAUAUUUAUAUUGCUUAUAUUGCUUAACUCACAAUUUUAUAAUUUCAGUUUUGGUAGCUGAAUGGGAAAUCCAGGCUGUUAACAUAGAAAAAAGCCUUAGAGCAUAGGUUGUGUCUGCUAUAUGUGUGCUACAUAAUGCUAUAUGACUAACAGUAAUUGCUUUUUUAUUCAUGAUGUAAGUAAAGCCUUAAAAAACAAAACAAAACAAAACAAAACAAAAACAACCCUAAGUCAUCAUUGCAAAACUUUACAUAUGAAGUUUUGUCUCUUUUUCCUAAAGAGGAAGUGUCUGCCACACCUAGCUUUAUCCUAUGUUUUUAGCAAAAGAGAGAUGCUGCAUGCUUCCCAUUCCAUAAAUGUAUGGUUUGGACCUGGAAAGUGUUUGAAAGCUUGUUUUGUUCUUGUAGAUCCCUGGUGGGUGGUGAUGCUGUUUGUGGUGAUGAUGAUACCCCACAUGUGAGGUGGACUUGCAAUGCAAGAAGCUUUGUUUCCAGUGCAACUCCACUGAGAUAUGUAGGGAAGUCCUGUGAAAGCAGUGGUCUUUUACAAUCGUUUUUUUUUUGUCAGACAGGGAAAUUCCCUUGUGACAGAGUGUGAAAAAGCCGUAGCACUAGAAAUUGUCCCUUAUAUGGAAUAACAAGUCUGUGUACUGAGCAGACGGUUUUAAUGUCAAGGGGACAAAUCUCUGAAGGGCGCUGUUGCAGAAAAAAACACUUAUGAAGUUUAAAAAGUUUGGAUAUUUUUACUUUUCUGCUAAAUUAUGUAUGACCUAUACAGCAGUUUAUUAGCAUAAUUUUUAUUGUAUAGUGUCAGUCAAGGUUAAUGAGGUUUCCACUCAGGUUGUUUUCCAUCCCUGAAAGAUUAAAACAUUUUCCAAAAACUAGUGCUUUCCUGAACUACUUGUAUAUGUGCUUUUCUCCUAUCCCUCCCAAGGCAGCACCUAAAGAUCUUGGUGACAAAGGUGAAUCAUACAAAUUACUAUCCAGGCACAAUGUUUUCUUAAAUUUCUCAGAUAAAGGCCAAACAUGUGUUUGCAGUUUUGUGAAGAAAAUAUUCUUGUAGCUUUAGCCACACCACUGGUAAAGCCUGCAUGUUUGCAAUGGUCCAUCUUGCACAGUAACUUUUUGUACUGGUCAUGACAAUAUUAAGAGGAGCAAAAACUGCCUCAAAGAUCAUUUUAAUCAAGCAUCAGUGUAUGAAACAGUGUCGUCUAGAUAGUUUUUUAAUACAAGUAUCAUGCUUAAGUGAUUUAACUUCUGCAGGAAAGAAGAAUUUCAGUUGACCUUGAAGUAAAAAGCCUGUAAAUGUCAUAACCAUUUGUUUGAUGAAAGCAGGUUUUUUUCUUCUUUUUUUUUAGCUUAUUUACUCUUAGAAAGAAAAAAAGGACAUGUUUAUACAUGCAAUCUGUUCAAUAUUUUGCAAUAAACAAGGUGACAAUUUAAAAAGUAUUGUUUAUUUUGGGUUCAGUGGCAGAUUGUAUUUAUUCCAGGGUAAGUAUUAACACCAGUAGAAAUAACUAGAGCUGGGACUCCAAUUGUUACUGAAGAGAAAAAACAAUUGAUCGCUGUAAACCAAAUGGCUGUAGCUGAUGUUGAAUAGACUUACAACUGUAUGGCAGAUCUGUGAGUUUGUACAUUUUCAUGAAUAAAAUCUACACUAUUACUGUUGCUCUGAAGUUACAAGAAACAACUGCUUUCCAGGUAUACAAGUACUGUAUGGAAAACCCACUGAUUUUCAAAAAUAGAAAAAUUAACAUAAUUUAGUCUUAUUUAUUUGGUAUUGACCACCACUCUCACAGCUGUUAUUAGCACUACAGAGUUAAAACUGGUAUUGUGUCAUUGGAACUUUUGGUAUUACCUUACCUUUCUCCUCAGUUCUUAAGUGCUUGUGACUGUUUAGCUGUUCUCACUCUGAUUCUUCCUGGUGCUCAUUUACAAGGCAGAGAAAAAAAUCUCUUCCUUAUCUCAGACCAGAAGGCACAGGUGCAUGCAUUUGAAUCUUUAUUUUCCAAUGAGAAAUCUUUCAUUUUCCAGGAAAAGUCUGUUUUUAAAAUUAAAACCAGCUAAUUCCUUUGAAAGUGGGUAAUCAAUACUGUAAGGGAUACCAAUAAUGUUUAUAAAAGCAUGUUUUCCUUUAAAAAGAAAGAGUGACUAAUUUUUGUUUCAUAUACAGUAUUCUUAAUAAUACCAGCAGAUAAUGUAUUCCUUUAACAUGAGUUAAAUUUAAAGGUAGGUUUUUUAAUAUUUGCCACCAUAUUAAUAAUUACUUGCUUAAAGCUUGUUAGCAGAGGGAGUCUGAGUUAAUAAACACUUUGUAGCAUUAGUGUAUAAAACACAGUGUACUUUUCCCAAGACAAUGAUUACCAGCAUAAGACCACAUUAACAACACCUAAUGCUUGUUCCUUAAAUGUGCUUGAUUUUCAUCUCUACGAAAUAGUAUCAAAAUAUUGCAGCAAGUAAACAUGGAAAUGUAUUGGAGUGAUUUAUUUUAUAGUAGAGGUAACUAACGCCUUGCUUGAGCUUUGUUUCUGUAUUACAUUAUUCUCUUCAUAGCACUGCAGCUUCACAUCAGCCAGAAAAGGGAAUCUAAUCCUGAAGCUUCUUUAACACAACUCCAGUGAAACACAUUAAAAAGAAGUUAUUUCUUCAUUACAGUCCAUUAGCUGGAAAUUUGGAAAAUAACUGCAGUGUGCUGGUAGGUCUUUAUAAUGUAGUAAUUUCACAUUCAAGAAUUGCUUUGGCUGUAGUUUAUGGAGUUUUAAUAUUCCUGCUUUGCUGCAAGUGUGCUUCAGAUUUUCAUUAGCUACUUUGAUUUCAUCAGUAUAAGCAAGAUACAUCUCUAUAAAUUACUGAUUUACUGGAACAUGUUUCUUUGCUUCAGAGUUGAGAGCUCUGUCAGCCCCAUCCAAUAGAUGGUGGGCCAGUCUGGAGUUACCUGCCAGAGCCUGGGCUGCCCACCCGGGUCAGGCACUCUUCUGCCACUCCACUGCACCACCUGCACACCUGCAAACUGAGACAUGCCCCAUUCAGCCCUGCAAGAACAGCUCUAUUGUUGCCUUUUCUGAGGGAAAAUUAUUCC